UUCUGGUUGAUCCUGCCGGACCUGACUGCUAUCGGAUUGAUACUAAGCCAUGCGAGUCAUUGUAGCAAUACAAGGCAUACGGCUCAGUAACGCGUAGUCAACCUAACCUAUGGACGGGAAUAACCUCGGGAAACUGAGAAUAAUGCCCGAUAGAACAUUAUGCCUGGAAUGGUUUAUGUUCCAAAUGAUUUAUCGCCGUAGGAUGGGACUGCGGCCUAUCAGUUUGUUGGUGAGGUAAUGGCCCACCAAGACUAUUACAGGUACGGGCUCUGAGAGGAGUAGCCCGGAGAUGGGUACUGAGACACGGACCCAGGCCCUAUGGGGCGCAGCAGGCGAGAAAACUUUGCAAUGUGCGAAAGCACGACAAGGUUAAUCCGAGUGGUUUCUGCUAAAGAAACCUUUUGUCAGUCCUAGAAACACUGAUGAAUAAGGGGUGGGCAAGUUCUGGUGUCAGCCGCCGCGGUAAAACCAGCACCUCAAGUGGUCAGGAUGAUUAUUGGGCCUAAAGCAUCCGUAGCCGGCUCUGUAAGUUUUCGGUUAAAUCUGUACGCUCAACGUACAGGCUGCCGGGAAUACUGCAGAGCUAGGGAGUGGGAGAGGUAGACGGUACUCGGUAGGAAGGGGUAAAAUCCUUUGAUCUAUUGAUGACCACCUGUGGCGAAGGCG
rnacentral:rRNA from 1 species